GAUGAACGCUGACAGAAUGCUUAACACAUGCAAGUCGACUCGAGUCUUCGGACUUGGGUGGCGGACGGGUGAGUAACGCGUAAAGAACUUGCCUCAUAGUCUGGGACAACAUUUGGAAAUGGAUGCUAAUACCGGAUAUUAUACUUUCUUCGCAUGGAGGAAGUAUGAAAGCUAUAUGCGCUAUGAGAGAGCUUGCGUCCCAUUAGCUAGUUGGUGAGGUAACGGCCCACCAAGGCGAUGAUGGGUAGCCGGCCUGAGAGGGUGAACGGCCACAAGGGGACUGAGACACGGCCCUUACUCCUACGGGAGGCAGCAGUGGGGAAUAUUGGACAAUGGACCAAAAGUCUGAUCCAGCAAUUCUGUGUGCACGAUGACGUUUUUCGGAAUGUAAAGUGCUUUCAGUCGGGAAGAAGCAAGUGACGGUACCGACAGAAGAAGCGACGGCUAAAUACGUGCCAGCAGCCGCGGUAAUACGUAUGUCGCAAGCGUUAUCCGGAUUUAUUGGGCGUAAAGCGCGUCUAGGCGGCAAGGAAAGUCUGAUGUGAAAAUGCGGGGCUCAACUCCGUAUUGCGUUGGAAACUGCCUUACUAGAGUACUGGAGAGGUAGGCGGAACUACAAGUGUAGAGGUGAAAUUCGUAGAUAUUUGUAGGAAUGCCGAUGGGGAAGCCAGCCUACUGGACAGAUACUGACGCUAAAGCGCGAAAGCGUGGGUAGCAAACAGG
rnacentral:rRNA from 1 species